AUACUGCUCGACUCCCUCGAAUACUACCUCAACAGGAGAUUCCUUUAGACGCCGCCGUUGUACCGACUUCGCCCGAUAUCCGCACAAGUUCGCAAUUGUUGUUGCGCUCUUGAGCAGAAUUGAACAGAACACCAAUCGGCUGUGUUCCACAAGGUACGCCGUGUACUAUGUUCAGUUUCUUGCCUGAGAUUGCAUAGAUUGUAAAAGUUCGUCAGUACAUUGGCUACAUGAAUUCCGAGUAGAAGGUGAAAAAUCCAUGUGCAUAUAUAUUGGAUUACUCAAUCAGUGAUUCUUUCUUGCAAAGAAUUAAGGUAAUGGAAGGAGCAGAACAGUCCCCAGGAAGCAAAAUCAUUUAAAUCUAUGGAUGACGAGACAAUUGAGGAAAUAGAAAGAGCAGGACAGACCUGUGAGGAAGCAAAAUCAUCUGAAUCAAUCGAUAAGGAGAAAAUUGAGGAAAUAGAAAGAGCAGGACAGACCUGUGAGGAAGCAAAAUCAUCUGAAUCAAUUCAUAAGGAG